rnacentral:rRNA from 1 species
UACGUAGGGGGCAAGCGUUGUCCGGAUUUAUUGGGCGUUAAAGAGCGUGUAGGCGGCUUUACAGGUCCGUUGUGAAAACUCGAGGCUCAACCUCGAGACGCCGGUGGAAACCGUAAGGCUAGAGUCCGGAAGAGGAGAGUGGAAUUCCUGGUGUAGGCGGUGAAAUGCGCAGAUAUCAGGAAGAACACCCGUGGCGAAGGCGGCUCUCUGGGACGGUACUGACGGCUGAGACGCGAAAGCGUGGGGAGCGAACAGG